rnacentral:lncRNA from 1 species
AUGACUCCAGUGGCUCCACUCUGCCCAUCAUACUCAGUGCCGCCCCUUGCCAUGGUGAUGGGAAAGCUGGUGCACUGCCUGCCUCUUUGCCUGCUCCCUCUUCUUCCCCAGUGUCAGCACAGCCAGCUCAGCCUCAGGUGCACAGAUGCAUUCCUGUGUGAAACUGAGAAAGGAAAAGCAUCCUUAGCAUACAGAGGAUUAAAAAUAUCUGAUGGCCAUUCCACGUUUAAGCCCCUUAAACAGGAUAGAGUGGAACACAUUGUGGUGUCUAUAGCAACAGGUGUGAAAUCAAAGGUAAGGAUUUUUCUCUCUUUGUGUGUAUCUUGCCUGCUGCUGUACUCCUGGAAAACCUGUAAGAAGCUCAUUAAAAUCAUGCAUAUAUAACACAGACACAGGGCAUCAAAUGAUUUCCCAAGGCCUUAGCUCUGUGCUGUGUCUAGACAGUGUCCGUGGGCUUUAUCACAGCACAUCUUAAAGAGCAGUGAAACACAUCUGGUGUGGAGAGAAAUGCUAACAAUCCAGCAAAUUGCUAGCAUCUAGCCCAGAAUCCUUUUCCUCUGACAAUAGCCACUAGGACAUGCCCAAUGAAAAGGAUAAGAUCAGGACAAGUAAAGUGAUACUUCUGUGUUGUGGUUUGGUUCUUUUUUUUUCUGUCUCUUGUGGAAUUCAGUGCAGUGACUAAUAGCUGGUACCAACCUACUUAAGCACCCUUGGCAGAAUUUUUCUUUUCUUUUGUGUAUGUGUUUAAUUACUUGUGCUUUAAUUUUCUGAACCCUUUUGGUGUGAUAACAAUGGUAUCUUCCCUUGAUUACAAAUAUCUACAUGUUCUGCAGAUUCAUUUUCAUCCACGGAAGACUGAGAAAAUGCUGGAGCCGUGUGUAAGUGGUUUGCAUGGAUUUCCAAGGUGCAAUGCCUCUGUGUAACCUGCAUCAUUAUGCUCACUUCAUUUGUCACAAAGUGUUUUCUUGUCAGGGACAAUUUUUAAUGUUCAGUCACAUGAGAGAUUUUACCUGGGGCCAAUGAUUUUUUCUGAUACGUGUAGCUUAUUGGCAAACUUCUCCAGCCACACACUGUUCUGUACAAUGGAGAGACUUAAAGGUGGAUUAAAUCAGAACUGUGACAUUUGGCACUGUGAUGUUCUCACGACUGUUUUUAUCAGUAUAAAGCAUGUCCUGGAAGACAGAAGCAUCUCUCAGCAUUGUAGUUCCCAUAAAGGAAUGCUUUGG